GCAGUCCAGGCAGUGAGUCCACCAUGAAUAGUGAGAGUGAACGUUGGGCAGUCGUCGCACUUGCACGUAGUAUUGGUCACGUGUUUUUUUUUUUUUUUUGUCAAUCCGAGACUGGCUUGCGAAAGGGAAACAGGCAAACCGUAAAGCUGCAAUAAGAAGCCCAUGGCAAGAUAAAGGAAACACUGCAUCUGAGGAUGAGGACGAUCCUCCAGUCUCUGUGGAUAAAGAUGAUCAGAAUCUUGGUACCAGUGAUAGGCCUGGGUGUUCAAGCAGUGGGACUACAAGGAGAGUUAGUACAGAACACACAUGUGGAUGGCCUUCCCUGAGGAAAGGAUGUCUGUGGUACGCUGGCUGCCUAAGAUUCCAAUCAGACGAGUCAAGUUGGACUUCUGCACCAGCAAUGUCACUGUGCUACCCAGAUGCUGCUUCCGAGU